AUCAUGAGCAGAGAUGUCACUCUGUCCACC
rnacentral:piRNA from 1 species